rnacentral:rRNA from 1 species
AACGAACGCUGGCGGCAUGCCUAACACAUGCAAGUCGAACGAGACCUUCGGGUCUAGUGGCGCACGGGUGCGUAACGCGUGGGAACCUGCCCUUAGGUUCGGAAUAACUCCCCGAAAGGGGUCCUAAUACCGGAUAAUGUCUUCGGACCAAAGAUUUUUCGCCUUUGGAUGGGCCCGCGUUGGAUUAGCUAGUUGGUAGGGUACAAGCCUACCAAGGCGACGAUCCAUAGCUGGUCUGAGAGGAUGAUCAGCCACACUGGGACUGAGACACGGCCCAGACUCCUACGGGAGGCAGCAGUGGGGAAUAUUGGACAAUGGGCGAAAGCCUGAUACAGCAAUGCCGCGGGAGUGAUGAAGGCCUUAGGGUUGUAAAGCUCUUUUACCCGGGAUGAUAAUGACGGUACCGGGUGAAUAAGCACCGGCUAACUCCGUG